rnacentral:rRNA from 1 species
GACGGACGCUGGCGGCGUGCCUAAUACAUGCAAGUCGAGCGAAUGACGAGAAGCUUGCUUCUCUGAUUUAGCGGCGGACGGGUGAGUAACACGUGGGCAACCUGCCCUACAGAUCGGGAUAACUCAGGGAAACCUGGGCUAAUACCGGAUAAUCCUUCGAGUCACAUGUUUUGAAGUUGAAAGGCGCUUCGGCGUCACUGUAGGAUGGGCCCGCGGUGCAUUAGCUAGUUGGUGGGGUAACGGCCUACCAAGGCAACGAUGCAUAGCCGACCUGAGAGGGUGAUCGGCCACAUUGGGACUGGGACACGGCCCAAACUCCGACGGGAGGCAGCAGUAGGGAAUCUUCCACAAUGGACGAAAGUCUGAUGGAGCAACGCCGCGUGAGUGAUGAAGGUUUUCGGAUCGUAAAACUCUGUUGUAAGGGAAGAACAAGUACGUUAGGAAAUGAACGUACCUUGACGGUACCUUAUUAGAAAGCCACGGCUAACUACGUGCCAGCAGCCGCAGUAA